ACGGAGGGUGCGAGCGUUGUCCGGAAUCACUGGGCGUAAAGGGCGCGUAGGUGGCGUCGCAAGUCAACGGUGAAAGCUCGACGCUCAACGUCGAGUCGGCCGUCGAGACUGCGAGGCUGGAGCACUGUAGAGGCAGAUGGAAUUCCGGGUGUAGUGGUGAAAUGCGUAGAGAUCCGGAGGAACCCCAGAGGCGAAGGCGGCGCCCUGGCCCGACACUGACGCUCAGACACGACAGCAUGGGGAGCGAACGGGA
rnacentral:rRNA from 1 species